rnacentral:rRNA from 1 species
UUGGAGGGCAAGUCUGGUGCCAGCAGCCGCGGUAAUUCCAGCUCCAAUAGCGUAUAUUAACGUUGUUGCAGUUAAAAAGCUCGUAGUUGAAUUUCGGGAUCAAUGUUUCGGUCAUGCCGUUGGUAUGUACUGAUAUUAUUGGUUUCUCACCUUCUAAAGAACCGUAAUGCCAUUAAUUUGGUGUCACGGGGAAUUAGGACUGUUACCUUGAAAAAAUUAGAGUGUUUAAAGCAGGCUCACGCUUGAAUACAUUAGCAUGGAAUAAUGAAAUAGGGCAUCCGAUUCUAUUUUGUUGGUUUCUAGGAUCGAUGUAAUGAUUAAUAGGGAUAGUUGGGGGCAUUAGUAUUCAAUUGUCAGAGGUGAAAUUCUUGGAUUUAUUGAAGACUAACUACUGCGAAAGCAUUUGCCAAGGAUGUUUUCAUUAAUCAAGAACGAAAGUUAGGGGAUUGAAGACGAUCAGAUACCGUCGUAGUCUUAACCAUAAACUAUGCCGACUAGGGAUCGGAUGAUGUUAAUUUUUUAAUGACUCAUUCGGCACCUUACGGGAAACCAAAG